rnacentral:sRNA from 1 species
CUGCCUGUCUUGCUGCUGCUUCUUGGGGGAGCCGGUUACUUCCUGUGGCAACAGCAGGAGGAAAAAAAGACUCAGUUCAGAAAGAAAAAGAGAGAGCAAGAGUUGAGAGAAAUGGCCUGGAGCACAAUGAAGCAAGAACAAAGCACAAGAGUGAAGCUCCUGGAGGAACUCAGUAAGUUCCCAUUCCCCCAGAGACCCAGGCAUGUCUUCCUGUCCCUGCUUUAUGCGCCUUGAUGCAUCUUCCCCUGUUCCUUCCAUUGCAGGAUGGAGAAGUAUCCAGUACGCAUCUCGGGGAGAGAGACAUUCAGCCUAUAAUGAAUGGAAAAAGGCCCUCUUCAAGCCUGGUGAGUAAAUCACUGUGUGUUCCCUGGACCAACAACCUGAGGGACUAUAUUCCUUUUUCCUUUUUACUUCUCCAACUGUUGUGAUUUGGGGAAGAAAAGCUCCCAUGACUAGGAGAAUUUGGGGUAGGCAACAUUAAAUUCCAAUCUGAAAAGUGGGCCCAUCUCCAAGACCCUUUCCGCUGAGAGCCCAGGGAACCAGGGCGAAUAGAUCUCUUGCACUUCCUCAGACCUUCCUGGGAAGGAAGACAUAUAAAGGGUGGAGCUGAGGGGAAGGAGACACACACUGAGUAAUACUGCAGGGAGAGUGAGGAUGGAAAUGCCAAGGAAAGGAGGCGAUGCCUGCCCAAAGAACUUAGUCCUUCCCAGACUUCUCAUGCCACCUACUGUCAGUGCCUUCUCAAAAAAACUUAAUGCUUCUGAGCUUUGGCCUCCACAUAUUUAGGUGAUGAUUUCAAUCUGUGUUUGUGGGGGUUGAGGUGAAGACUGAAGGAAUAAUAAAUAUCCAUUGGUCAAAAACCUUAAGAAGGAGAUGAUGAGUUCAAACUGGGUGGUUGAAGGUUUGCAGAAAGGAGGGUUAAGGGAAAGCAACAAGGAAAAGUGCAGUGCCCCCAUGGUUCCCAACAGUGGGGAGCUGUCUCCACUCCUACACUGGGACGGCUAGGGAGGGGAGGCAGUUACUGGAACCCAGAGUAAGAAGUAGCUCAAAGAGAGGGCUCCCUGAGAAGAGUCUUCAGGCCUUGUUAGAGCAGCAGCAGCUGCUGCUGGCAGGGAGGAAGCAGGAAAUUAAACGGUGUGUCUCUCCUUUCUUUCUCCUUCCAAUCUCCUAUCAGGGCCUCCCAUUGGCCAAACCCAACAGCAAACCAGAGGACAAGGGAGCCCAGUGGCACUGUCUCAGGAAUCUGCCCAGAGAACAGAUUCCUGGGGCCCAGAAGAGGGUGGAGAAAGCUGAAGGGUGGAGAGUGAAUCUAGGGCAUAUAAGGCACCACACAGAGCCCAGCACAGAGACGGCCUUGCAGCUAUCAGGAAGAUGAGGAGCUUCCUUCAUGGCCUGCUGUGGGCUGAGUAAAUAACAUGAUUGCCUUCUACAGCGCUAGAGAUUCAUUUGUUUAUCCCCAUUUUUCAGGUGAGGAAAUGCUUCAGAUGAGGCUCCACUUUGUUAAAUAAAUUGGAUGUAUGGAAAAAUAGACUGCAGAAAAGGGGAACUCAUUUAGCUCAUGAGUGGUCGAAUGAAGGUUGAAAAUUAACCUCUGAGUAUAAAGCAUUAGUGGGCAGAGUGAAUGUGGGGAGGGAAACAAGAAAAACGUAGAAAGGAUCCUUGCUGCUUCCUGAGGCCACGUCAGGGUAUUGGGUUAGGCAGAUGCUGAGGCAACCCUCAUUUCACCCUCCUCUUCCCCUCUGGACACAAGAUACCUGAUACCU